rnacentral:rRNA from 1 species
GAUUAUGGCUCAGGAUGAACGCUAGCGACAGGCUUAACACAUGCAAGUCGAGGGGCAUCACGGGAGUAGCAAUACAACUGGUGGCGACCGGCGCACGGGUGAGUAACGCGUAUGCAACCUACCUAUCAGAGGGGAAUAACCCGGCGAAAGUCGGACUAAUACCGCAUAAAACAGGGGCACCGCAUGGUGAUAUUUGUUAAAGAAAUUCGCUGAUAGAUGGGCAUGCGUUCCAUUAGGUAGUUGGUGAGGUAACGGCUCACCAAGCCGACGAUGGAUAGGGGAACUGAGAGGUUGGUCCCCCACACUGGUACUGAGACACGGACCAGACUCCUACGGGAGGCAGCAGUGAGGAAUAUUGGUCAAUGGGCGGGAGCCUGAACCAGCCAAGUCGCGUGAAGGAAAAGAAGGAUCUAUGGUUCGUAAACUUCUUUUGCAGGGGAAUAAAGUGCAGGACGUGUCCUGUUUUGUAUGUACCCUGAGAAUAAGGAUCGGCUAACUCCGUGCCAGCAGCUGC